GUCCUUGUAAUUGAUGUGAAGAAGCUUGAAUGUGCUUGUAUUGUAACUGAUGUGAACGGAUAAAGGAUUACCGAGUUUCUUUGGUUAGAUUAGAUAGAUGGGUGUUUUACAGGACUGAAGAUGUUGUUAAGUGAGGCUCUUUGGCCAUAGAUCAUACUUGUUUUAAUUGAAGAGGUUUAAUUAUGAUUUU